AUUGAACGCUGGCGGCAGGCCUAACACAUGCAAGUCGAACGAGUGGCGGACGGGUGAGUAAUGUCUGGGAAACUGCCUGAUGGAGGGGGAUAACUACUGGAAACGGUAGCUAAUACCGCAUACCAUCGGAUGUGCCCAGAUGGGAUUAGCUAGUAGGUGGGGUAAAGGCUCACCGAGGCGACGAUCCCUAGCUGGUCUGAUAGGAUCACAAGCCAGACGGGGAAUGAGACACGGUACAGACUCCUACGAGAGGCAGCAGUGGGGAAUAUUGCGCAAUGGGCGCGAGCCUAAUGCAGCCAUGACGCGUGUAUGAAGAAGGCCUUCGGGUUGUAAAGUACUUUCAGCGGGGAGACGUUACCCGCAGAAGAAGCACCGGCUAACUCCGUGCCAGCAGCCGCGGUAAUUC
rnacentral:rRNA from 1 species